rfam:Roseiflexus sp. RS-1, complete genome.
AGAUAUAUAUGCUAAGCGCCGCAGACAGCGGGUGCGUUUGCUUAAUGGCUGCGUGCCGCCCGCCGAGGCAGCUUCCCAGGUCGAUGCGACUGUAAGUUCGCGGGUUGCUGCGUCUGUGCGCGGCAACCCGCGUUUUUAUCUUCCAGA